AACGUAGGUUCCGAGCGUUAUCCGGAUUUACUGGGCGUAAAGCGUGUGUAGGCGGAUCGUUAAGUGUCUUGUGAAAUCCCACGGCUCACCCGUGGAACUGCUGGGCAUACUGGCGAUCUUGGGCCAACUAGGGGCAGCCGGAACAAGCGGUGGAGCGGUGAAAUGCGUAGAUAUCGCUUGGAACGCCGAAGGUGAAAACAGGCUGCUGGGGUUGUGCCGACGCUGAGACACGAAAGCCAGGGGAGCAAACGGG
rnacentral:rRNA from 1 species